GGACGCUUAGCUCAGCUGGGAGAGCGCCUGCCUUGCAAGCAGGAGGUCAGGAGUUCGAUCCCGUCAGCGUCCACCA
rnacentral:tRNA from 1 species